rnacentral:rRNA from 1 species
AGUGAACGCUGGCGGUAGGCCUAACACAUGCUAGUCGAACGGCAGCACAGUAAGAGCUUGCUCUUACGGGUGGCGAGUGGCGGACGGGUGAGGAAUACAUCGGAAUCUACUUUUCCGUGGGGGAUAAGGAUGGGAAACUUACGCUAAUACCUCCAUCGCCUUAGGGUUGAACUCAGGGGAUUUUCGGACCUUGUGCGUUUGCUGCUGCCAAUGUUGGCUUCGCUUUUUGGCGGGGUAAAGGCCCACCAAGGCUACGACCCGUCGCUGGUCUGAGAGUAGGAUCAGCCAAACUGGAACGGGGACGCGGUCCUGACUCCUACGGGAAGCAGAAUGGUUGAAUGUGUGACAAUGGGCGCGAGCCUGAUGCAGCCAUACCGCGUGCGUGAAGAAGGCAUUAGGGUUGUAAAGCCAUUUUGUUGGUAAAGAAAAGCAGCAGGUUAAUACACCGCUGUUAUGACGGUAAACAAAGAAUAAGCACCGGCUAACUUCGUG